rnacentral:lncRNA from 1 species
UUUUCAUGUUGAGCAGCAACUGCUGCUAGAGCCUGGUAUGUCUGAGAUGAUUCCCACUCAUAACUGACUCUCUUGGGUGAGAGGAAGCGCCACACUCAUCCCUAGAAGAGUAUGAAGAAAAAGUGGAGGAAGCUGGAACUAAGUUCAAUGCAGCUCAGCAGCUAUGAGAAGUAUGCCGCUGUGGGAUGUUCAGAGUGGAGGAGGCCACACAUGUGCAGGUGCCGCUCUGGAAACAUCUGGGCUGUGAAGGUGAACACUGCAGGUGAGGAGCAGUAGACACCACAUGGGUGCUGAGAAUUGAACCUGGGUCAUUUGGAAGAGCAGCUGAUAAUCUCCUAAUUGCCAAGCCACCUCUCCUGUCCCUGUCCACUGCUUCUGUAGCCGAGUAUUCUUUGUUUGUUUUAAGCCUGAGUCUCAUGUGGCCUGGAUGAUCUCACCCUGACUGUGUAGAAGAGGAUGACCUUAAACUCCUGGUCCUCCUGCCUCCACCUUCAAGUCUGGGAUUACAAGUGAGCUGCUGUGUCUGGUGUUGCAAACACUUUUCUAUAUUAAUCUGCCUUAAACAUGACUUUAUUUUAUUCUUUAAGUACUAUAGUUGAGUGUUAACUAUUGGAAAUGUGCAUCCAACAUUGUCAAUUAUAUAUUACACGUGAGUGAACAUUUUUAUAAGGAAACCCACUGUGCAUACCAUGAAUAUUACUUUGGCUAGUGAAACAGUGAGCCAAGGGGGAUGAACACUUUCAGGCGCUGGUACAUUUUGCUUUCUUGCUUUUUGGUAUAAUAAAUUCACCCUCCCAUGGCACAGAAGGCGAUGCUUGCCGCUGCCUUGUAUCCUAACAUAGCUCUACUCUUAACUCUCAACAUUCUGUUUGCUUUCUUUUUUUUUAUUUUUUAAAAUUUCAAGGUACUAUACAAGAAAGUUUCAGUCAAAGUAUAAUUUGGGGAUAUAAACAAAGAUUCUGAUCGUUCCUUUCUCUGUUGUAUAUAAGAGACUAAGGAAAGAUCCUGCCCUUGAGAUUUUACAAAUCACAAUAUUUAGCAAGACACAGAGGAAUGGGAGCCCCCAUUCAGUGCUGGCAUGAAUGAAAAAACUGGUGUAAAAACUAGAGUGGUAGUUUCUAAAAAGAAAUUAAUAAUAAUACAAAAUUAUCAUAGAUUCAGAAAUUCCAUUCAUUUGUAUCAAGUAAGAGAAAUAAAAAUGUGCACACAAA